CCUACGGGUGGCUGCAGUGAGGAAUAUUGGUCAAUGGCCGGAAGGCUGAACCAGCCAUGCCGCGUGAAGGUCAGUGCCCUAUGGGCGUUAAACUUCUUUUGUGCGGGAGCAAUAAUGGUCACGUGUGGCCAGACGAGAGUACCGUACGAAUAAGCAUCGGCUAACUCCGUUCCAGCAGCCGCGGUAAUACGGGGGAUGCAAGCGUUAUCCGGAUUUAUUGGGUUUAAAGGGUGCGUAGGCUGUGAGGUAAGUCAGCGUGGAAAUGCCACCGCUCAAAGGGGUGAAGUGCCAUUGAUACUGCCUGGCUGGAAUGCGGAUGCCGUGGGAGGAAUGUGUGGUGUAGCGGUGAAAUGCAUAGAUAUCACACAGAACACCGAUUGCGAAGGCAUCUCACGAAGCCGCGAUUGACGCUGAUGCACGAAAGCGUGGGUAUCAAACAGGAUUAGAUACCCGAGUAGUC
rnacentral:rRNA from 1 species